rnacentral:rRNA from 1 species
CAGCAGCCGCGGGAAUACGGAGGGAGCUAGCGUUGUUCAGAAUUACUGGGCGUAAAGCGCACGUAGGCGGUUAUUCAAGUCAGAGGUGAAAGCCCGGGGCUCAACCCCGGAACUGCCUUUGAAACUAGAUGACUGGAAUCUUGGAGUGGUCAGUGGAAUUCCGAGUGUAGAGGUGAAAUUCGUAGAUAUUCGGAAGAACACCAGUGGCGAAGGCGACUGACUGGACAAGUAUUGACGCUGAGGUGCGAAAGCGUGGGGAGCAAACAGGAUUAGAGACCCCUGUAGUCCCUGUCUCUUAUAC